GACGAACGCUGGCGGCGUGCUUAACACAUGCAAGUCGAACGGAAAGGCCCUGCUUUUGUGGGGUGCUCGAGUGGCGAACGGGUGAGUAACACGUGAGUAACCUGCCCUUGACCUUGGGAUAACUUCAGGAAACUGGGGCGAAUACCGGAUAGGAUCUCCUGCUGCAUGGUGGGGGUUGGAAAGAUUCGGCGGUUGGGGAUGGACUCGCGGCUUAUCAGCUUGUUGGUGGGGUAGUGGCUUACCAAGGCUUUGACGGGUAGCCGGCCUGGGAGGGUGACCGGCCACAUUGGGACUGAGAUACGGCCCAGACUCCUACGGGAGGCAGCAGUGGGGAAUAUUGCACAAUGGGCGGAAGCAGGAUGCAGCAACGCCGCGUGCGGGAUGACGGCCUUCGGGUAGUAAACCGCUUUCGCCUGUGACGAAGCGUGAGUGACGGUAAUGGGGAAAGAAGCACCGGCUAACUACGU
rnacentral:rRNA from 1 species